rnacentral:rRNA from 1 species
GAUGAACGCUAGCGGCAGGCCUAAUACAUGCAAGGCGAAGGGGCAGCAAUGUCACUGUCGUACGGGUGCGUAACGCGUAUGCAACCUACCUAUCACAGGGGAAUAGCCUUUGGAAACAGGGAUUAAUACCGCAUAAAGCAGGGACACCGCAUGGUGAUAUUGCUAAAGAUUUAUCGGUGAUAGAUGGGCAUGCGUCUGAUUAGUUAGUUGGCAGGGUAACGGCCUACCAAGACGAUGAUCAGUAGGGGGCGUCAGAGCGUGGUUCCCCCACACUGGCACUGAGAUACGGGCCAGACUCCUACGGGAGGCAGCAGUAGGGAAUAUUGGGCAAUGGAUGCAAGUCUGACCCAGCCAUGCCGCGUGCAGGAAGAAGGUCCUCUGGAUUGUAAACUGCUUUUAUCGGGAAGAAUAGUUUUCUUGCGAGGGAAUGUGACGGUACCCGAUGAAUAAGCCACGGCUAACUACGUGCC